UCAGGACGAACGCUGGCGGCGUGCCUAAUACAUGCAAGUAGAACGCUGAAGAGAGGAGCUUGCUCUUCUUGGAUGAGUUGCGAACGGGUGAGUAACGCGUAGGUAACCUGCCUGGUAGCGGGGGAUAACUAUUGGAAACGAUAGCUAAUACCGCAUAAAAUGGAUUAUCGCAUGAUAAUUCAUUGAAAGGUGCAAAUGCAUCACUACCAGAUGGACCUGCGUUGUAUUAGCUAGUUGGUGGGGUAACGGCUCACCAAGGCAACGAUACAUAGCCGACCUGAGAGGGUGAUCGGCCACACUGGGACUGAGACACGGCCCAGACUCCUACGGGAGGCAGCAGU
rnacentral:rRNA from 1 species